rnacentral:lncRNA from 1 species
CUGGAUUACCCUAUUGGUGGUAAGGGUUUCAAAGGAACUCUCUAAGGAAGGAAAAAGUCAAGUGAACUAAAGUACAAAGAAACCAACUCUUUGGAGUCUGAACUAUUUCUAAUAGUAUCUAUCUGGUAUGUAUUGCAUUAUGCAGACCAACUCUUUGGAUGUUUGCAUUGUGAUCAAUGGAUGAAAGAAACCUUAAUGAGGUUGUAUCAAUCGAUAUUUUGACUGCAGACUUUUUAUGAAAAUUCGAUAAAAUUUGGUGGGCGCUGGUAU